rnacentral:rRNA from 1 species
UACGAAGGGGGCGAGCGUUGUUCGGAUUUACUGGGCGUAAAGGGCGCGCAGGCGGCUCAUUUUGUCAGGCGUGAAAGCCCCGGGCUUAACCUGGGAACUGCGUUUGAUACGGAUGGGCUAGAGUUCGGGAGAGGAGAGUGGAAUUCCCAGUGUAGAGGUGAAAUUCGUAGAUAUUGGGAAGAACACCGGUGGCGAAGGCGGCUCUCUGGACCGAUACUGACGCUGAGGCGCGAAAGCGUGGGGAGCGAACAGG